AGUGAACGCUGGCGGUAGGCCUAACACAUGCAAGUCGAACGGCAGCACAGGAGAGCUUGCUCUCUGGGUGGCGAGUGGCGGACGGGUGAGGAAUACGUCGGAAUCUACUUUUUCGUGGGGGAUAACGUAGGGAAACUUACGAUAAUACCGCAUACGAACUACGGGUGAAAGCAGGGGAUCUUCGGACCUUGCGCGAUUGAAUGAGCCGAUGUCGGAUUAGCAAGUUGGCGGGGUAAAGGCCCACCAAGGCGACGAUCCGUAGCUGGUCUGAGAGGAUGAUCAGCCACACUGGAACUGAGACACGGUCCAGACUCCUACGGGAGGCAGCAGUGGGGAAUAUUGGACAAUGGGCGCAAGCCUGAUCCAGCCAUACCGCGUGGGUGAAGAAGGCCUUCGGGUUGUAAAGCCCUUUUGUUGGGAAAGAAAUCCAGCUGGUUAAUACCCGGUUGGGAUGACGGUACCCAAAGAAUAAGCACCGGCUAACUUCGUGCCAGCCGCCGCCGUAA
rnacentral:rRNA from 1 species